rnacentral:rRNA from 1 species
CCAAGCUACUAAGGGCCUACGGUGGAUGCCUUGGCGCUGAGCGGCGAUGAAGGACGUGGCAAGCUGCGAUAAGUCUCGGGGAGUUGCUAGCGAACGUUGAUCCGGGAAUUUCCGAAUGGGGCAACCCAACCGUCUUUAGGCGGUUACCGCAUAACUGAAUCCAUAGGUUUUGCGGGGCGAACGCGGGGAACUGAAACAUCUAAGUACCCGCAGGAAGAGAAAUCAAACGAGAUUCCGUCAGUAGCGGCGAGCGAACGCGGAAGAGGCUAAACCAGUCCUCUUCGGAGGGCUGGGGUUGCGGGACCGCAAUGUGGUACGACAAAGACUAGCUGAAGGGUCUGGAAAGGCCUGGCAUAGAGGGUGAUACCCCCGUAAGCGAAAGUUUGAGUCGGCCUAGCGGUAUCCCAAGUACCACGGGACACGAGAAACCCUGUGGGAAUCCGGGUGGACCACCAUCCAAGCCUAAAUACGUCUCAGCGACCGAUAGUGCACAAGUACCGUGAGGGAAAGGUGAAAAGCACCCCGGUGAGGGGAGUGAAAUAGAUCCUGAAACCGUAGGCCUACAAGCAGUCGGAGCAUCCUUGAGAUGUGACGGCGUACCUUUUGUAUUAUGGGUCAGCGAGUUACGCCUCAGUGGCGAGGUUAAGGCUCAAGCCGUAGCCGAAGCGAAAGCGAGUCUGAAUAGGGCGCAUAGUCACUGGGGGUAGACCCGAAACCGGUCGAUCUAUCCAUGGCCAGGUUGAAGGUGGGGUAACACCCACUGGAGGACCGAACCCACCGUCGUUGAAAAGCCGGGGGAUGAGCUGUGGAUCGGAGUGAAAGGCUAAUCAAGACCGGAGAUAGCUGGUUCUCCCCGAAAUAUAUUUAGGUAUAGCCUCGUGUAUGGCUUCCGGGGGUAGAGCACUGAAUGGGCUAGGGGCCCCCACAGGGUUACCAAACCUAAUCAAACUCCGAAUACCGGAAAGUCUAAGCACGGGAGUCAGACAGCGGGUGCUAACGCCCGUUGUCAAGAGGGAUGAAAACCCAGACCGCCAGCUAAGGUCCCCAAAUUACAGCUAAGUGGGAAAGGAUGUGGGAGCGCAAAAACAGCCAGGAGGUUGGCUUAGAAGCAGCCACCCUUUAAAGAAAGCGUAACAGCUCACUGGUCGAGCGAGCCUGCGCCGAAAAUACCCCGGGGCUCAAGCUGUAUACCGAAGCUGCGGAUGCGUCUUGUACGCAUGGUAGGGGAGCGUUCCGUAAGCCUGUGAAGCUCAACCGUGAGGUUGGGUGGAGGUAUCGGAAGUGAGAAUGCUGACAUGAGUAGCGAUCAACAGGGUGAAAAGCCCUGUCGCCGUAAGCCCAAGGUUUCCUGCACUAUGUUCAUCAGGGCAGGGUGAGUCGGCCCCUAAGGCGAGGCCGAAAGGCGUAGUCGAUGGGAAGCAGGUUAAUAUUCCUGCACCAGGUGCAACUGCGAUGGGAUGACGGAGAAGGCUAAACCAGCCGGCGAAUGGUAGUGCCGGUUUAAGCGAGUAGGUGGAGGGGAUAGGCAAAUCCGUUCCUUCUUAACACCGAGACGUGAUGACGUGCUCUUGCUUCGGCUUGAGCGAAGUGGUCGAUGCCAGGCUUCCAGGAAAAGUCUCUAAGCUUCAGGUUGCACGUGACCGUACCGCAAACCGACACAGGUGGGCGAGGAGAGAAUCCUCAGGUGUUUGAGAGAACUCUGGUGAAGGAACUCGGCAAAAUGGCCCCGUAACUUCGGGAGAAGGGGUGCCCCUUGUAUGUGAAGCGACUUGCUCGUGGAGCAGAAGGGGGCCGCAGUGACCAGGGGGUAGCGACUGUUUACUAAAAACACAGCACUCUGCGAAAUCGCAAGAUGACGUAUAGGGUGUGACGCCUGCCCGGUGCUGGAAGGUUAAGGGGAGUUGUUAGCCGCAAGGCGAAGCUCCGAACCGAAGCCCCAGUAAACGGCGGCCGUAACUAUAACGGUCCUAAGGUAGCGAAAUUCCUUGUCGGGUAAGUUCCGACCUGCACGAAUGGCGUAACGACUUCCCCGCUGUCUCCACCAGAGACUCAGCGAAAUUGAACUCGCUGUGAAGAUGCAGCGUACCCGCGGCAAGACGGAAAGACCCCGUGAACCUUUACUAUAGCUUGACAUUGGGUCUAGGAAUCAUCUGUGUAGGAUAGGUGGGAGGCUGUGAAACCGGGGCGCCAGUUCCGGUGGAGCCAUCCUUGAAAUACCACCCUGAUGGUUCUUGGGCUCUAACCGCGGUCCGUAAUCCGGAUCCGGGACAGUGUCUGGUGGGUAGUUUGACUGGGGCGGUCGCCUCCUAAAGAGUAACGGAGGCGUGCGAAGGUCCUCUCAGACUGGUUGGAAAUCAGUCGUCGAGUGCAAAGGCAUAAGAGGGCUU